rnacentral:tRNA from 3 species
GUAGAGCUGUUUGGUAGCUCACAAAGCUCAUAAGCUUGGGGUUACGGGUUCGAU